rnacentral:misc_RNA from 1 species
GGAUGUUACUGGGCUACACAAUUUUUUAUAGCUUGCUCUGCAACUGUGAUUGCUGGUUCUGUUGCCUCCUACUACUGGGCUCAUGGUGGGACAUCGCCGGAGAUUACAUUUCUUCCAGUUUUUUCCUCUAUGAGGCGGCUUAUGCGGUACACAGCCUUGGGUCAGUUGCUCUUGGCUCCCUGACCGUGUCAUUUGUGGAAUCAGUUCGCUUCAUGCUUGAGUCAAUCCGUCGCAAACUGAAAGUUACUGGCACUACACCUGACGGCUGCAUAGGAAAGAUGGCGCAUCAUACUUCACAGUUUUGUCUGAGAUGUGUUGAGUGGACUAUAAAAUCUGUGAACCGCAAUGCU